rnacentral:tRNA from 1 species
AGAAUUUUAAGUUAUUUAAACUUAAAGCCUUCAAAGCUUUGUAAAAAAGUCCUAAUCUUUUAAAUUCUA